GCAUUUUACAUUAUGGAAAAGGUGAAGAAUGGCAUUAGGAGAGUGGUCGAAAGAACUCAGUCUCAGUUGAUGAACUGAUUAACUGGUUGUCUACCUAUGCUGACAAUUUCCAAAUUCUGUAACUGAUUCGCUGAGGAAAUAUAUAAGGGCAAAGCAAUGAAUUAAGGACAAAUAAUAAUUAUCAUUCAAUGCCAGAAAUCUCUAUGGGACAUUUGUAACAGAACACAAGUUUUCCUGAUGAAACCAGUGCUACAUCUUUUGGAUUUCACAUUUUCUUGGUUCGUUAAAUAACUGUCAAUGCCUUUCUCUUAUGCCAGGGAGCUUCUUCAAUUGCACUGAAUUCCCCAUAUGAAUUACUUCUAUGGUUCAUUGAGUUAUGAUGCAGUAAAUUAUAUGACAGAUGUUGGCGAAAUGAGGUGGUUUUUGCAUUUCCUCAAUUGGAGAACUGAAUUUUAAUCUCUGAAAUCUUUUGAUGGCUCAUUGAG